rnacentral:lncRNA from 1 species
GUGGGAUAGACUUGUAUGGAUAGAUGGUGGAGUUGAAUUAGGGUCGUAGGAAUACUGGAUCUCAAGUAGAUGAAGAUUAAAGGGAUAGAAAAGAAAGUGGACCUCAUAUCCUCUCCUGAUAAGGCGAUUUUGGAUCUCACACCCUCUUCCUCUCGAAGUAAUUGAUACAAGUAUUUAUGGAGUUUGUAAAAUUAUUCAUUAUUCUCUUUAUGAAAGAUACAAAGAUUUAUAUAGGACUCUAAGAGUC